ACGAGGGGUGCAAACGUUAUUCGGAUUUAUUGGGCGUAAAGGGUGCGUAGACGGCACAUUAAGUCAACUGUUAAAUCUUCUGGCCUAACUGGAAGUCUGCGGUAGAUACUGAUGAGCUUGAGGAUGGAAGAGAGAAGUGGAAUUCUCGGAGUAGCGGUAAAAUGCGUAGAUCUCGAGAGGAACACCGAUGGCGAAGGCAGCUUCUUGGUCCAAUCCUGACGUUGAGGCACGAAAGCGUGGGUAGCAAACAGGAUUAGAUACCCUGGUAGUCCACGCUGUAAACGAUGAUCACUAGACGACGGUUCUGUUUACAGAAUUGGUGUCGUAGCUAAUGCGAUAAGUGAUCCGCCUGGGAACUACGAUCGCAAGAUUA
rnacentral:rRNA from 1 species